GUCGCUCGUUGCUCUCCACUCAGUCGUCGCUCUCUUCGCCCUCUCUCCUCCCCUUUGCCUCUCUUCUGCCACCACCUCGAGCACCUCGCCCACCGCGCCAGCCACCACCACGCCGGCCAGGCGGCCACGAUCUCUCCCCGUCGCUGCCAUCUUUCUUUUGGCUCCACUCACCCCUCGUCCACUCGCACCCCCGCUUCACUCACACCCGACAUCCGAGGUCAAAGUUUAGAUUUUUGCUCCGGCGGUGAGCUUCUUGGCGAUGGAGACGCUGGAUCCGUGUGUGCUUGCUCUGGAUCUGGCGACGGAGGCGGUGGAUGCGACGUCUGGAGGACACAUGGGCGGCGGCCUGCUCACCGAGGGCGAGCCUGGUGGCGGCGUGGAUGGCGACCGAGGAGGCGGUGUACGAGCUGCGGUAGGCCGCGCUGGUGGAGGACCUGUAGGGGCGGCGGGCGCGGGAGGCCGAGGCGGGCAGGCGUCGCCAGUGGCGGGACGAGCAACUCGAGCAGUAGGGCGACGCCAAGCUCGGCUGGGGACUCCUGGGCGAUGCCUACGACCGCUGCAGCGAGGUCUACGCCGAGUACGCCGCCUUCUACCUGGUUAGUUUCUGUAAAUUGAGGCGAGGAGUACCUGCCUGGAGUGUUGUGUGUGGUGAGGACCAGGCGGGGGCGCAACGAGGAUCAGGCUGGGCAGCGGGGCGAGGACCAAGCUAGGGCGGCGGCGACUAGACUGGGGCGGAGGAGGAGGUUGGGCCUGCUGCUGGCGACGGGGACAAGCAUCUGGACAACAGGGGGAGCCUGGCGGAGGGUCCUGCUGGUGGAGGGUGCAGGAGGAGGAGGGGCCUGCUGCUGGCGACGGUGACUGCUGCUGAAGGGCGGCGGAGGAGGAGGGGCCUGCUGCUGGCGACGGGGACGAGCAGCUGGACGACAGGGAGGAGCGUGGCGAAGGCUCCUGCUGGUGCAGAACGGAGGAGGAGGGGCCUGCUGCUGGCCUGGAUGAGCAGCUGGAGGAGGUGGAGGGCGGAGGAAGAGGAGGCGAGCGCGGGCCUAGAGGAAGGCAACGAGGAAGACGACGAUCUGUUUUAAGGGGUAGUUUUGUAUUUUCCCUCGUUUUCACCUGGUCGGAGAAAUCCCCCAGCGACAAUUAUUUCGGAACAGAGGGAGUAAAAGAGAGUUGCAUGCAUGGGUCGAUAGAGAGAGAAAAAGGAAGAGAAAAGACUAGUAUGCACCGGUUGUCCGAGGAGGCCUAUGUAACCUUGUGCCAUAAACAGUAGUAGCUCCAUGUUUUCUUAUUCCCUAACGGCGCAUGGCAGCAGAGAGACGCAACUAAGCUAACACAUAAAGGAUAUCUUGUUCUCUUUAAUCCUUUUUUUAUGCAGAGGAACAGUAUUCAGCAUUA